GUGCUUGUUUCAGCAGCACAUACACUAAAAUUGGAACCAUACAGAGAAGAUUAGCAUGGCCCCUGCACAAAGAAAUGCUCAUUGGAGCAUUUUGGAUGCCAGAUUUUU